rnacentral:rRNA from 1 species
UACAGAGGUCUCAAGCGUUGUUCGGAAUCAUUGGGCGUAAAGAGCGUGUAGGCGGCCAGAUAAGUCCGCUGUGAAAUCUCGAGGCUCAACUUCGAGCUGUCGGUGGAAACUGUCUGGCUAGAGUCCGGAAGAGGAGAAUGGAAUUCCUGGUGUAGCGGUGAAAUGCGCAGAUAUCAGGAGGAACACCUAUUGCGAAGGCAGCUCGCUGGGACGUUACUGACGCUGGGACGCGAAAGCGUGGGGAGCAAACAGG